rnacentral:tRNA from 1 species
GCGACUUUGGUGAAAUUGGUAGACACGUCAGACUUAAAAUCUGUUUCUUUUGAGAGUAUCGGUUCAAGUCCGAUAAGUCGU